CCUACGGGGAGGCAGCAGUGAGGAAUUUUCCGCAAUGGGCGAAAGCCUGACGGAGCAAUGCCGCGUGAAGGAUGAAGGCCUAUGGGUUGUAAACUUCUUUUCUCAGAGAAGAAAUUUUGACGGUAUCUGAGGAAUAAGCAUCGGCUAACUCUGUGCCAGCAGCCGCGGUAAGACAGAGGAUGCAAGCGUUAUCCGGAAUGAUUGGGCGUAAAGUGUCUGUAGGUGGCUUAAAAAGUCUCCUGUCAAAGAUCAGGGCUUAACCCUGGGCCGGCAGGAGAAACUCUUAGGCUAGAGUUUGGUAGGGGCAGAGGGAAUUCCCGGUGGAGCGGUGAAAUGCGUAGAGAUCGGGAGGAACACCAAAGGCGAAAGCACUCUGCUGGGCCACAACUGACACUCAGAGACGAAAGCGAGGGGAGCAAAAGGGAUUAGAUACCCCUGUAGUCCUCGCCGUAAACGAUGGAUACUAGAUGUUGGAUAGGUUAAAUCAUUCAGUAUCGUAGCUAACGCGUGAAGUAUCCCGCCUGGGGAGUAUGCUCGCAAGAGUGAAACUCAAAGGAAUUGACGG
rnacentral:rRNA from 1 species